ACCUGCUUCCUUUGGGUGAGUUCUCAAGUUUAUUUACAGUAUUUUGUGCAGACACAUGUGGUACACAUUGAAGGGAAAUCAGCAGAGGGCGCUGCCUCUUCACUUGUGGUUAAUGUCUGCAUCCAGGUGGUGGCUUCACAUGACAGACUGUCACUGGGCAGGAGGACCUUGUUUAUGAGUGAAGAGUUUGAGUAAGGUCCUGCAGGAGACUUGUCCUGUGAGUUUAGUGCACUCAAGAACCAAGUGUUAUUUUCUUCCGUGGACAUGCUUCCUGACACCUGCUCAGUUCUGGUGCUCUUCUUCAUGCUCAGGAGGAGCAAUGGAGACUCGGUGACCCAGACAGAAGUCUUGGUCACUGUCACAGAGGGGUUGCCUGUGAUGAUAAACUGCACCUAUCAGACUACUGACUCAGCUCCUUUCCUUUUCUGGUAUGUGCAAUAUCCCAACAAAGCCCCUCGGCUACUCCUGAGGAGCUUCACAGACAACCAGAGGACAGAGCACCAAGGGUUCCAGGCCACUCUCCAGAAGAGCAGCAGCUCCUUCCACCUGCAGAAGUCCUCAGUGCAGCUGGCAGACUCUGCCCUGUACUACUGUGCUCUGAGUGCCACAGUGAGGGGACUGCAGGGGAAGCUGCACACAAACCCAGGGUGCAGGAGGCUGAGGGAGUGGCCUGUGAGGGAGGGCUGUGUGCCUUCUCUGAGUGGGGUUUACCCAGACUCCCGAAACACAGCAGCACAUCUCAGGUCAAAUUCCUAG